rnacentral:rRNA from 1 species
AGCACAGAGAGCUUGCUCUCGGGUGACGAGUGGCGGACGGGUGAGUAAUGUCUGGGAAACUGCCUGAUGGAGGGGGAUAACUACUGGAAACGGUAGCUAAUACCGCAUAAUGUCGCAAGACCAAAGAGGGGGACCUUCGGGCCUCUUGCCAUCAGAUGUGCCCAGAUGGGAUUAGCUAGUAGGUGGGGUAACGGCUCACCUAGGCGACGAUCCCUAGCUGGUCUGAGAGGAUGACCAGCCACACUGGAACUGAGACACGGUCCAGACUCCUACGGGAGGCAGCAGUGGGGAAUAUUGCACAAUGGGCGCAAGCCUGAUGCAGCCAUGCCGCGUGUAUGAAGAAGGCCUUCGGGUUGUAAAGUACUUUCAGCGGGGAGGAAGGUGUUGUGGUUAAUAACCGCAGCAAUUGACGUUACCCGCAGAAGAAGCACCGGCUAACUCCGUGCCAGCAGCCGCGGUAAUACGGAGGGUGCAAGCGUUAAUCGGAAUUACUGGGCGUAAAGCGCACGCAGGCGGUCUGUCAAGUCGGAUGUGAAAUCCCCGGGCUCAACCUGGGAACUGCAUUCGAAACUGGCAGGCUGGAGUCUUGUAGAGGGGGGUAGAAUUCCAGGUGUAGCGGUGAAAUGCGUAGAGAUCUGGAGGAAUACCGGUGGCGAAGGCGGCCCCCUGGACAAAGACUGACGCUCAGGUGCGAAAGCGUGGGGAGCAAACAGGAUUAGAUACCCUGGUAGUCCACGCCGUAAACGAUGUCGAUUUUGGGAGGUUGUGCCCUUGAGGCGUGGCUUCCGGAGGCUAACGCGUUAAAUCGACCGCCUGGGGAGUACGGCCGCAAGGUUAAAACUCAAAUGAAUUGACGGGGGCCCGCACAAGCGGUGGAGCAUGUGGUUUAAUUCGAUGCAACGCGAAGAACCUUACCUGGUCUUGACAUCCACAGAACUUUCCAGAGAUGGAUUGGUGCCUUCGGGAACUGUGAGACAGGUGCUGCAUGGCUGUCGUCAGCUCGUGUUGUGAAAUGUUGGGUUAAGUCCCGCAACGAGCGCAACCCUUAUCCUUUGUUGCCAGCGGUCCGGCCGGGAACUCAAAGGAGACUGCCAGUGAUAAACUGGAGGAAGGUGGGGAUGACG